CCCAUCUAUAGGCGAGAGGGUGUGCGCGAGAGAGGGCGAAUUUGGGGCGUAGGGUGGGAUUGAGGGGGAUAGGGAGAAAGAAAGUUGUCACAAUGUGUAUUUGAUUACUGUUAUCAGGGAGAAAAGGUCUCAUUGUUGUAGCACUCCUUUUCUUUGCUGAUGUUGUGCCUGUUUCCCGUUUACGGAGAGCAACACCCAGCAGCAGUGACAAGACCACCCCAGCUACGCUGUCCGCCUACUACUUAUGCGUCAGAAUCACCAACCAGAUUUACACUGAGUCACUCAAUAAUCAAAGCUCUAAGGAGUACAAACAGCUGAGGAAACAGGUGGAACAGAUGAUGGAUGACGUCCACAGCCAUUUGCCAGAGUCUGACAAAUAUCUGGGUGUAUUUGAUAUAAUCUUCAGCUAGUGUGGUUGUGCUGUAGGCAGAGAGAUGGAAGCUUCAGACCAUAUAACCAGAUCAACCACAGGGCAGACAUCCAAAUGUACUCCACACACAGCCGCUUCGACGUGCCCAACGGCAAGCCUAAUAAGCUCCAGUCAAUUGGGUAAGAAGACCAUCUGAAAUGACCUUAUGAAGUAAUAUGCAUGGGAGCAAUGACAAUUCUGUACAAAUGGUCCAAUUAUCUCUGAAGAUCAUGGCGUUGGCUCACUGAUUGUAAUUUCAACCUGUAUUUAUUCAAAUCAAAUCACAUUGAUUUAUAAAGCCCUUUUUACAUCAGCUGAUGUCACAAAGUGCUAUACAGAAACCCAGUCUAAAACCCCAAACAGCAAGCAAUGCAGAUGUCCUGUUAUUUUAUUCCUAAUGUUUUUACCAGUGGAGGCUGCUGAGGGGAGGACGGCUCAUAAUAAUAGCCGGAAUGGAGUCAAUGGAAUGGUAUCAAACACGUGGUUUCCAUGUGGUUGUUACCAUUCCAUU
rnacentral:lncRNA from 1 species